CACGAACGCUGGCGGCGUGCCUAAUACAUGCAAGUCGAGCGGAAGUUGGAGAGCUUGCUCUUCAACUUUAGCGGCGGACGGGUGAGUAACACGUGGGCAACCUGCCCUGCAGAUCGGGAUAACUCCGGGAAACCGGUGCUAAUACCGAAUAGUUUUCGCCACCUCCUGGUGGCGUACGGAAAGACGGUUUCGGCUGUCACUGCAGGAUGGGCCCGCGGCGCAUUAGCUAGUUGGUGGGGUAACGGCCCACCAAGGCGACGAUGCGUAGCCGACCUGAGAGGGUGAUCGGCCACACUUGGACUGAGACACGGCCCAGACUCCUACGGGAGGCAGCAGUAGGGAAUCUUCCGCAAUGGACGGAAGUCUGACGGAGCAACGCCGCGUGAGUGACGAAGGUUUUCGGAUCGUAAAACUCUGUUGUGAGGGAAGAACAAGUACCACUUAACUACUGGUACCUUGACGGUACCUCACCAGAAAGCCACGGCUAACUACGUGCCAGCCGCCGCGGUAACAC
rnacentral:rRNA from 1 species